AGUGAACGCUGGCGGUAGGCCUAACACAUGCAAGUCGAACGGCAGCACAGUAAGAGCUUGCUCUUACGGGUGGCGAGUGGCGGACGGGUGAGGAAUACAUCGGAAUCUACUUUUUCGUGGGGGAUAACGUAGGGAAACUUACGCUAAUACCGCAUACGACCUACGGGUGAAAGCAGGGGAUCUUCGGCCCUUGCGCGAUUGAAUGAGCCGAUGUCGGAUUAGCUAGUUGGCGGGGUAAAGGCCCACCAAGGCGACGAUCCGUAGCUGGUCUGAGAGGAUGAUCAGCCACACGGGAACGGAGACACGGUCCAGACUCCUACGGGAGGCAGCAGUGGGGAAUAUUGGACAAUGGGCGCAAGCCUGAUCCAGCCAUACCGCGUGGGUGAAGAAGGCCUUCGGGUUGUAAAGCCCUUUUGUUGGGAAAGAAAAGCAGCAGGUUAAUACCCCGCUGUUCUGACGGUACCCAAAGAAUAAGCACCGGCUAACUUCGUG
rnacentral:rRNA from 1 species